rnacentral:rRNA from 1 species
UACGAAGGGGGCUAGCGUUGCUCGGAAUCACUGGGCGUAAAGCGCACGUAGGCGGCUUCUUAAGUCAGGGGUGAAAUCCUGGAGCUCAACUCCAGAACUGCCUUUGAUACUGGGAGGCUCGAGUCCGGGAGAGGUGAGUGGAACUGCGAGUGUAGAGGUGAAAUUCGUAGAUAUUCGCAAGAACACCAGUGGCGAAGGCGGCUUACUGGUCCGGAACUGACGCUGAGGUGCGAAAGCGUGGGGAGCAACAGGGAU